AUGGAGAUGGAGAGGAUCAAGGUGCACGACGUCUUUAUUUCAUAUGAAGAUGGAGCUACUGGAGUCAAGGAAGAGAAAGAUUUAGAACAAUGGGCUUCGGGUUUUUGUUUAUAUAUGGAUGCAAGGUCCGGUUUUUGUAAUAAGAAAUAUGAAGCAUGGCAUUGAAGUCCAUUAGCAAAACAAGACUGAAAGAUAGGGUACAAGGCAUUUGGUGCAAAGUUAGAAGCAUGACAUUUAGUGGUAAGGAUGGACAUGGAGAUGGAUCUGUAUGACAUGGCAUGACGUUCGGUUAAGGCUUGAAACAU